rnacentral:rRNA from 1 species
AAGAGUUGCGUAGGUGGCAUAGUAAGCAAAUAGUGAAAGCGUGCGGCUCAACCGCAUAUCCAUUAUUUGAACUGCUAAGCUUGAGCAUGAGAGAGGUAGAUGGAAUUUCUAGUGUAGGAGUGAAAUCCGUAGAUAUUAGAAGGAACACCGAUGGCGUAGGCAGUCUACUGGCUCAUUGCUGACACUAAGGCACGAAAGCGUGGGGAGCGAACGGGAUUAGAUACCCCGGUAGUCCACGCCGUAAACUAUGGAUGCUAGCUGUUAGAAGUAUCGACCCUUCUAGUAGCGAAGCUAACGCGUUAAGCAUCCCGCCUGUGGAGUACGGCCGCAAGGCUAAAACAUAAAGGAAUUGACGGGGACCCGCACAAGCGGUGGAGCGUGUUGUUUAAUUCGACGAUACGCGAAGAACCUUACCAGGGUUUGACAUCCUGCCAAUCUUUCCGAAAGGAGAGAGUGCCUUCGGGCCGCAGUGACAGGUGUUGCAUGGCCGUCGUCAGCUCGUGUCGUGAGAUGUUUGGUUAAGUCCAUUAACGAGCGCAACCCUUAUAGUUAGUUGAACUUCUCUAGCUAGACUGCCCCGGUAACGGGGAGGAAGGAGGGGAUGAUGUCAGGUCUGUAUUACCCUUAUACCCUGGGCUACAAACACGCUACAAUGGCCGGUACAAAGGGCAGCUAAGCCGCGAGGCGGAGCAAAUCCCAUCAAAGCCGGUCUCAGUUCGGAUUGCAGGCUGAAACUCGCCUGCAUGAAGCUGGAAUCGCUAGUAACGGUAGGUCAGCACACUACCGUGAAUACGUUCCCGGGUCUUGUACACACCGCCCGUCAAACCAUGAAAGUCGCCAAUACCCGAAGCGCCACCUCGGUGGUUCUAAGGUAGGGGAGAUGAUUGGGGUUAAGUCGUAACAAGGUA